AAAGCAUGACCCCUCACUUUUCCAUUUUCAACAAACCCCAUUUCCCUUUUUCUUCUUCCUCUUUUCUCUUUUCUCUUUUCUCUUUUCUUCUGCUCCGUUCAUCCCAUCCAUCGCUGGCCCUCCUUCCAAAUCCCGCUUUUCCCUUAAAAAGAUCACCGGCUUUCAAUCUCCCUCUCUCCCUUCUUCUUCUCCUUCUCACCCUCCUCCUCCUCCCCCUUCUCCUCCAUCGAGAGUCGCGAAAUUGAAUCCCACUCACGGAAGCUCCUGCUUCUUCUUUCAUUUUCUUCUUUUCCUUUUCGAAUUGCAAAAGCAUUCGUUGACUCUCCCUUUUUAUUGCUUUUGAUUCUUCUUCCUAAGCCCCAUCGAUUUAUGUGCUGUGUGUAUGUGAUUGACUGAUUGUGUUCGCGAAGGAAAAGGUGAAGCUGCCAGCAUGAUCUACCUCUGGUCUGCUAGCUUGAAAAGACAAAAGCGUAAAGAUAAAGAGAUUGAUUCAUACCAAUUUCUUUUUUCUUCAUCCAUUGGUAACCCUAGUUAGGUCAUGCUCUGACAGCCUCACUCCUUCCUACUCCCGAACUCUCUAAAAAUCCCAAUCUUCCUUCCAUUUCUACCACCACCAUCGCUCAAUCGGGGACUCCAUUACGAGCUGAAGUAUUAUAUUAACCAACGCAUUGUAAUUUUACUCAGGCAGUAAAGUGACUCGAGAAUUUUUUCAUAUUGACAUCGUCUCACCUUUCAUUUCGUUGUAUUUAUAGUGACUUCAUGUGCCCUAUUUGGUGAAUACACUGAGAGGGAUUCCGUCAUUCAAUGUUUAUAAUUUUGGUUAGUCAUUUUUUGGAAGAUUUCUUUUUUCUCUUUUGUAAUCAAAUGUAUUGUUAUUUAUAUUUCUUGAAAUCAUAAUAAUAACUAGUGCGUUAACACAUGUCAAAAACUCAAGAUGGUACUUUUAGUUGGUUGGAUAGGCCCCAAGUUGGUUGAGUUAAAUUUACCUUUGAAUUAUCUAAAUUAUUGAAGCCCUUCGAGGAUAGUCUCUUACUGCAAGUUUAGGAAGUGAACACCAAUAAGUAAAUGAUUCAUUAUCCAAAAGAGUAACGAUGACAGAUACCGAACCCUAAGUAGUAGGAAAGUGGAUGUGGAAAAAGAAAAAGGAAAGAAAAGAAGUUCCAUUUCCAAGACAAAAUGAUGGGAAAAACAUCAAUUAUUAUUAUUAUUGUUAAGAACCAUUGUUAUCAACUAAGAAAGAGUUGGAAUUAAACUAUAGUGUACCCGUCUACAAUGACAAUCUCAACACUUUUAAUUUCUUUUCUUUAUUCUUCCCAAUAUUGUAAAUCUGAUUAAAAGUAAUCUAAUUAAUCAAACCCAUUUAUCA